rnacentral:lncRNA from 1 species
ACAAUGCUUCUCCAGUUUACCAUGUGACAAAUGACACUGUUUAAGAAAUGUCACACACAUUCCAAUAUCGAGUUCGCCUCAUCAAUGAAGAAGACCAACAGAUUUCGGUGAGCGUGAGAAUGUGCAAGGCAUAUGGUAGUAUGGAAGUGAAUGCAAAAGGGAAGGGGUCGAUGUGAUUAUUAGAUAAACCUUAGCACCUGGGUAUUGACAUAACAUUUGGCAACGUAGCAUUAUGAUGCGCAACCCUAUGUAAACUAAUUGAAUGAUGGGUUUGUGUGCCAUUUUGCUGGCCACAUUUGUAAUGCCAUGUCUCGUUUGCAAAUUUCUUACUCGUUCAUGUGAAUGUUUAUAUUAGUUUAUUAGUUGUGCGAUUACUUCGGCAUGGAGUUAUUUUCAUUUCAUGUAGUAUAUGUUACUGGUUUACAUUUUUACUCACUUGAACUUUUGUUCAUAUCAUCAGUUUCAUAGUGAUGCACCCAAAUUUAACAUCAUAAUUUCUGGGGGGUCGCGAGCACUAUGUCACAGGGUACCAUAUGAUGCUGAAAUAAUUAAAUUGUAAUUGUUGAUUCAAUGUGUCACAGGAAACCAUAUGAAACUGAAAUAACUAAAUCCAUCAUUGAAGACCACAUGCAAUUUCUUGAGCAUUGUUUGAGAUAAAUUUAUACUUGAUUAACUUGCAAGUACAAGAAACAGGAAAGCAUUUUCAUGUCUCAAAAAAUUAACACAAGGCUAUACAAGUGAUCAAUUGGCUACAUCCUUGAACGAGCUCUCCUUUUACUUUCUUCAGCAAACUGUUGAAUAGGCAAGACUUCACAGGGAGUACCAUCAGAAGAACAUAACCGGAUUCUGGAACAAACUUUCUGGGGUUGGGCUUCAAAGAACCACUAGUAUUAUCGAAUCUUUGGCCUUCACGGCUACAAAUCAAGAUCACAUAUCUCAACUCUCCAUCAUCACCUUUUUUCAAAUUCUUUUUCUUUACUGGAAACCCAACGGCAUAAGCAUACAUUUUGUAC